rnacentral:rRNA from 1 species
AUUGAACGCUGGCGGCAGGCCUAACACAUGCAAGUCGGGCGGAGCGGCGGACGGGUGAGUAAUGCCUAGGAAUAUGCCUGGUAGAGGGGGAUAAAGUCCGGGAACGGGCGCUAAUACCGCAGAAUAUAAGAUGAGCCUAGGUCGGAUUAGCUAGUUGGUGGGGUAAAGGCCUACCAAGGCGACGAUCCGUAACUGGUCUGAGAGGAUGAUCAGUCACACUGGAACUGAGACACGGUCCAGACUCCUACGGGAGGCAGCAGUGGGGAAUAUUGGACAAUGGGCGAAAGCCUGAUCCAGCCAUGCCGCGUGUGUGAAGAAGGUCUUCGGAUUGUAAAGCACUUUAAGUUGGGAGGCGUUACCAACAGAAUAAGCACCGGCUAACUUCGUGCCAGCAGCCGCGGUAAUAC